rnacentral:rRNA from 1 species
AACAGCCGCGGUAAUUCCAGCUCCAAUAGCGUAUAUUAAAGUUGUUGCAGUUAAAAAGCUCGUAGUUGAAUUUCGGGGUUAGCAGGUCGGUCGUGCCAUUGGUAUGAACUGGUCUCGCUGAUCCCUCCCUCUUGACGAACUGUGAUGCCAUUAAUUUGGUGUCGCAGGGAAUCAGGACUGUUACUUUGAAAAAAUUAGAGUGUUUAAAGCAGGCUCACGCUUGAAUACAUUAGCAUGGAAUAAUGAAAUAGGACGUUUGAUCCUAUUUUGUUGGCUUCUAGGAUUGACGUAAUGAUUAAUAGGGAUAGUUGGGGGCAUUAGUAUUCAAUUGUCAGAGGUGAAAUUCUUGGAUUUAUUGAAGACUAACUACUGCGAAAGCAUUUGCCAAGGAUGUUUUCAUUAAUCAAGAACGAAAGUUAGGGGAUCGAAGACGAUCAGAUACCGUCGUAG